rnacentral:rRNA from 1 species
CCGUGCCAAGAGAUCGGGAUAACACCUGGAAACAGAUGCUAAUACCGGAUAACAACAGAUGAUGCCUAUCAACUGUUUAAAAGAUGGUUCUGCUAUCACUCUUGGAUGGACCUGCGGUGCAUUAGCUAGUUGGUAGGGUAACGGCCUACCAAGGCGAUGAUGCAUAGCCGAGUUGAGAGACUGAUCGGCCACAUUGGGACUGAGACACGGCCCAAACUCCUACGGGAGGCAGCAGNG